UUCUCUUUUUCUUUCUCUCUCUCUCUCUGCUGCUCAGGAGCUUGGCCUGAAGAUGGAUCACCUGCCCCUCAGCACCAGGGAAAGAGGUCCUGAUUUGUAUGCGCCAGGUGGUGUGGAGAGCUGCCUUCAUCAGUCAUGGAGAAAAUGAAUUGUGACGUCAGUGCCGGGUUCCUCAAUUGGCCAAUGAAAAAAGCCACAAUUGCCUGUAUAAAAAAAUAAACCACCCACAACAACAAUUCACUGCCAUCUUCCAGGAGGGAUGAAGUAAUUAAUAGUUUAUUAUCUUGGCAAAACAGAGGCGUAGGGGAAGGAACAGGCACCAGUUGUCUCAGAAUUUGAUAAAGAGCCUUCCUUCCAUUGGGCAAUGGCUUUCCAGAGGUUGGAUUCGUGAUCAAAUGGAUCCACAAAAGAGGGAAAGGAAAUUCAGGGAGAUGGUGGUGAAGCUCAGGUUUUUUUUACUUUCUUCAUUCUGAGUAUCUGUUUGAGCAUGCACCUCUUUUUCAUGUUUUCUUCAAACAAUAAAGUGGGGAAACAGCCGACAAACUCAGUCAACUUUAAAUAAAAGAGCUUGUCUGUAAGCUAAUCUGGUCUUGCCAGGAAACAAAGCGACAUGGGUCCUGCAGGCAAUUCAGGGGGGAGAAAAAAGAAUGUAGAAGACAAGAAAGAAUACUUUCUCAUCACAACCUCUCCCCAUCAUAACUGCGAGAAGCCCUGGUGGCAUGAUGGAUGCAUAACUUAUCCACUUUCUCCAAUACGGUGCCCUGUAAAUGGAUCUCAUUCAGCUCAACGCAUGUGAAGGAACCAGCUGGUUCAGGAAACUUAAAAUGGAAACUAAAUUUUGCAUCUCAGUUUACAGCCUGCUAACUAGAAUCCAACAGCCAAGCUGGGGCUGGGUUCUUGAGAAGGGGAUUGCUGUGCCAGGGAGGAACUUGUGGGUGCCACAAAGAGGAAGAAGAGGAGGAGGAGGAGGAGACUUGCCAGAGGUAAACAACCUGCUGCUCCCCAAAAUGCUCCAUUAAGGGCUUCUGAUCUAGACCAAUCACCAAGGGUGACUGGUCACCACAUACACACACAUACACAGACUCUUCUUGCAGUCUCCCCUGGGCCUCGGCUCCUCUUCGGAGCAGAUGUCAUCAUUUUGCGUGCACGCUAGUCAAAAUCACUUGGAGAUAGGAAAAUAAGAGCUGAGGCAUGCAGCUGCCGGGGAGCUCUGGUGCCCACUGGGUCUGCCUUGCAAAAAAGAGCGGAAACCAACAAGCAAGCAAAGAGACAGCUGGGAACGUUUGUCGAAUGGAAGGCAUGUGUGUGAGACAGAGUUUGUGUAUGUGCAUGUGUGUGUGUGCUUGUGUGCGCAACUGGAUUACAUAGCAACAAGGCGGCUGAGGGCUAAGCAGCGAUGUGUGCAUUCGGUUACCAGGUUCAGCUGCGAUGUUUCGUUCUUGGGGGGCAGAACUGUUGAAGGUCCCUGGCCAAGCUUUGGGGAACAGCAGGGGAAGAGAUUGGUUCAAUGGGGUUGCCCCCACCGCCGGUUAACCUUCUCCCUUUUUGAAGUUUCCCGGAACUCAGUUGCCCAAAAGGUAUAAGCCACUUUGGGGAUUUGGCUAGAAAUGAAAACUGCAGUUCCUGGAUCCAUCCAGCUGGCACCAUCCAGCAAGGUAGAAGACCUAAGAAGAAAGUGCAGGAGAAAAGAGGUAUUUGUGGGACAUUCUUGAAAGUGAGAGAGAGGAAUCAGAGGAUUGGGGGGGGGGUCCC